rnacentral:lncRNA from 1 species
AGUAGAAGUUUUUAUGAUUUAACGACGGUAUCUAUUUUUGAAACAUUGGUCGGGAAAAGAGUUAUAUCUAUAUCUAUAUCUAUACUCUAUAUAUUAUUUCUUAUAGAGUUUGUUACGUAGUAAUUAAUUCCCCCCUUCCUUGUCCUUUUCACUCCCUGAUGCUUCGCCUUCCCACCUCAUCUGUACCUAAUGUCUCGUCUUUCCACCUGCCCACUUUCUAGUUAAUAUAUUCAAUGAUCUAUUUUUAUCUAAACAAAUUACUUAAAAAAAAGAGUAAAAUAAGAUCUCUUCAUACUCAUUUUUAUCACUUUUUUUUUUUUCUUUUUGCCUUUUCUUGGUGCACAAGAAGGGUUCAAUUUUUAUAUUUUUCUUAAUUUUUUUCUAUUGUUUAAAUUGUGUGCAGAUUGAAAUUAGGGUUCCAAGGAUUGCGGCGGCGUGGCAAGGUGAAGUGAAAUGGAUUUGGAGUUGACGAGGCGAAAGAAGCGGUGGGUGCGGGGGGAUCUGUAUGGCAUCGACGUAGCCGUUAUCAAGGAAAAGCUCGACGCCAACAAUGGUAGUGGAGGCGACGCGGAGAAUGUGAAUAGAGUAGUAACGAUCUAUUACUGCUUCUUUCAUUAUUGUUAUAUAUAAUUUAUUUACUGUUGUAAUUUUUGCUACAUUUGUAUAUAUCUGUUUUAUAUUUUUUAUUUAUAUCUGUUGAUAUCUCAUGACAAAUAAAAAAAUUUUAAAAUUUUAACUUUGUCGAUCUUUUAUCUUUUAUAGCAUUAGCCCGCCGCAAUACGUGGUUAACUUCACUAGUUAAUAAUA